ensembl:lncRNA
GUUGCUUUCACCUCAGGGACGUCAAAGGACUCGCUGAAUAAUUAAUCAUAAGCCUUUCUGGGUACAGAGAGAAAAACAAUUAAAUGUGUUGCUUCUUCCUGCAUAAACCUCCAGCCCAGCUGCUGGAGUGUGGUCCAAUCCAUCACGUCCUCUGGAGGCCGGUGGCAGAUUUUCUCUGAAUAAUUACUUUCCAACCAGAAGGCAGCCUGGAUUUGCUGCAGCUGAAUGCAACGUGGUCUCCAAUCCAAGAACACACACACACACACACAUUUGAGUGACACCUGCUUUAGCCCAGCACGCGGUUCCUGUAAUUGUGCCUUGUCUCAUGCAGUCUCUAAUCAUCAACCUCUAUCUGCACACCAUGUGACGCUGUAAAUGGGCCGGGGAGAGAAGACAUUAGACGUGAGAGUCCAAGCCCUGUGGCAGCCUGUGUGUCUGCGAGCAGCUGGAAGAGCUCUGACCACAACAUCUGCGAGGAGCGAGUCUGCGUUUCGGGCUGGCGUUGACAGAAAGGAACUCUGGAAAAUGAAGGAAUCUACUGAGGUCAAGUGGGUUCACGGAGAAAAAGUACAUUUUUGAUUUUAACGUGACAGGUGGAGAUGGGAAGGUGAAGGGUCAACGGCAACGAGGAUCAAAAACGUCAAGCUCAAAAGGUUCUCUGUAUGAUAUUCAGAGCACUGUUCCAAGAAACACGAGUCUCUUGUUGUUGACUUUGUUAUUGCCUGGGUGUGUCACUGUUUUCCUUCGUAAACCGCCGGCUCAGCAGUGACUCUAAUGAUCU